CCGGGGGCGGGUGGCCGAGGUCCUCCUGCCGCUGGCGGCGGUGGCCGAAACCCGCCUGUCGGCGGCGGUCGCGGCGCUGCCGCCGGCC
rnacentral:tRNA from 1 species